UGUUGUUUGAAUUGGAAUUCGUAGUUUAGAGACGAGGGAGAAGAAUUGGGGUGAAGAAUUAGGGCAAAUAAGAGUGGGGAUCAUGCAACAAGGGUGCAUUUUAUUUUGUAGUUUUUAUACGCAAUGUGGUUGAAACUAUCUAGCCAUCUGAUCAAGAUUGGACAACUGAAGUGAGCCUGCGGGUAAAAAUUAUAGUAUGGCAAAUUCAUUGGCAUUUUAAAUUGUUUUCACCUCAUUCUCAAUUGUCUGAUCCAUCAAGGUCAGAUGGAUGUGAGUCUCACGACUAGUAUAUCACAUGUGUAUGAUGACAAAUAGGAAGGUUUCCCAACCUUGAGUUUUGUUUUUGUUUUCGUUUUUGUUUUUGAUUUUCAUGGGAAGUAAAGAUUUUGUGGUUGGAGGUUAUCGGAUUUAUGUAUUGGUCGAGUACUAUCUUUUAGUUAUGUUUAUAGGGAGGCUAAUGAUGUUGCAGAUGGACGGGCAAGGAUGUGGGUAGAUUUACAAUUUUUCACAAGUGGUACUUUAAUUGUGUAAAUACAAAAUGUAAAUCCAUUUGUCUUGCAUCAUGUUAUUAAUGAGUUGUAAAAAAAACAAAAAAAAAAAGAGAUGUAAAUCCAUUUGUAUUGCGUUAUGUUAUUAAUGAGUUGAAAAAAAACAAAAACAAAAAAGAUUUUCAUGGGAAUUAUCUUUGCACAGAGAUUGAAUAUUGUGCUACAUGCAGCAUACUGUUUUUAUCUAUUGUACAUGCAGAAGGCUCUUCAUAUGUUACCCAUGUUCUCCACUGUACAUCUCACUGACAGACUGUAAAAGAGAUGAAUCUAUGAUCGAGGAAGAACAGUGGACCAGUUAAUUUCCACCUUCCAUCAUUGACAAUCGACGGUAGAGGCCUACAUACCCACAACAUUUCAGGAUGCUGCAUGUAAUAUAGAAGAAUUUCGAUUUGGUAUUGUGUAACGUGAUGCUUGUAAUACACUGUUUAUAUGUAUGAUAUGCAGUCCCAAUUGUCCAUCACAAAGAACGGACAGUGUAGAUGAACCAUGUAAUGGUGUCAUUAUUAAUUUCAUUAAAGGGAAAUAAAUCACCAGGUA